rfam:Physcomitrella patens subsp. patens PHYPAscaffold_430 genomic scaffold, whole genome shotgun sequence.
ACUGAUGAAUUCAACGAGUUUAUAACCUGGACCGAUAGGUCUGGGUAAUCUUUUGAAAUUUCAUCGUGAUGGGGAUAGAUCAUUGCAAUUAUUGAUCUUCAAC